rnacentral:rRNA from 1 species
CAGUCGCCGCGGGAAUACGAAGGGUGCAAGCGUUACUCGGAAUUACUGGGCGUAAAGCGUGCGUAGGUGGUGGUUUAAGUCCGUUGUGAAAGCCCUGGGCUCAACCAGGGAAUUGCAGUGGAUACUGGGUCACUAGAGUGUGGUAGAGGAUAGUGGAAUUUCCGGUGUAGCAGUGAAAUGCGUAGAGAUCGGAAGGAACAUCCGUGGCGAAGGCGACUAUCUGGGCCAACACUGACACUGAGGCACGAAAGCGUGGGGAGCAAACAGGAUUAGAUACCCCCGUAGUCCCUGUCUCUUAUAC